GAAAUAUAGAGUAUAAAAGGAAAGGAAACUGAAGCAUUUACAACUAUAGAAAUAGAUUUGGGCCAGUCAGGUGGUGCUUCAAAUGGGGAGUGUUAAAUUCAUUUCUUAGUCAACUCAAGCAGGAGCUGUGAAGGUGGGUAACACCAUUAAAGCACUAUUUGAGGAUGUUAAUCUCAUGGUUAAACAAAAACAAAAACAAAGGGCCAAACAAAAGGAUCAACGUGGAAACAGAGGCAGAGAACAAAGUAAUCAUCCAAAUGAAACAGCAGACCCAGACAGGGCAGGUGCAGCCAUGCACGUUGAUGGGCUUGCCAAGGGCAAGCUUGUGCAGCAGUAGCUGUUAACAAGGUAUAUGAAGAUCACCUGUCGAGUUUGUUAACCAUAUAGAUUCCAGGAUCUGACUCCCAGAGAAUCUAAUUCAGAAGCUGCCUGGAGGGGCAAUGAGACUGAACUUUUAAAAAGUAGUCACCGUGAUUCUAAGGCCAAUUUUGAGAAAUAUUAAUGGAGUAAAUAAAGAAAGCUAAUGGCAGAACCUUGAGGAAAAAACUGUUUUUAAUGAGAUGAGAAGGAAGAGGAGACAGCAAAGGAAAUAAGGAAUGACAUGAAGUAAGAGGAAGGAAAAGAAGCAUGCAGUAAGAAUUUCAAGAGGAGGUUUUGGCAAACGCUACAAACUAUCAAUGAAAUGAAUAUGGACAGGAAACAGAAUAACACCAAAAACUGUCUGUAAAGGAUCAAUGUUCAAUGGAGCUUGGAUUUGUCAUGGGUCUCUGGUGACAAACAUUGGUCAUAUUGGGCGAGGCUAUGCUGGGUAUAAAAUUAAGAAGGAAACUGACAUAG
rnacentral:lncRNA from 1 species